rnacentral:misc_RNA from 1 species
GGACCAAUUUGUUGGUUGUGCCUCGGUACGUACUGGUAUUAUUGGUUUCUACCUUCUGAAGAACCUUGAUGUCAUUAAUUUGGUGUCUUGGGGAAUCAGGACUGUUACUUUGAAGAAAUUAGAGUGUUUAAAGCAUGCAUACGCUUGAAUACAUUAGCAUGGAAUAAUGAAAUAGGACGUUCGAUCCUAUUUUGUUGGUUUCUAGGAUUGACGUA